rnacentral:rRNA from 1 species
UACGUAGGGUGCGAGCGUUAAUCGGAAUGACUGGGCGUAAAGGGUGUGUAGGUGGAUAAGUAAGUCUGAUGUGAAAGGCCUGGGCUUAACCUGGGAGAGUCAUUGGAGACUGCUUAACUAGAGUGCGUUAGAGGGGGGUAGAAUUCCACGUGUAGCAGUGAAAUGCGUAGAGAUGUGGAGGAAUACCGAUGGCGAAGGCAGCCCCCUGGGAUGACACUGACGCUGAGUCACGAAAGCGUGGGGAGCAAACAGG